UACAGGGGGGGCAAGCGUUGUUCGGAAUUACUGGGCGUAAAGGGCUCGUAGGUGGCCAACUAAGUCAGACGUGAAAUCCCUCAGCUUAACUGGGGAACUGCGUCUGAUACUGGAUGGCUUGAGUUUGGGAGAGGGAUGCGGAAUUCCAGGUGUAGCGGUGAAAUGCGUAGAUAUCUGGAGGAACAUCAGUGGCGAAGGCGGCUUCCUGGUCCAACACUGACACUGAGGUGCGAAAGCGUGGGGAGCAAACAGG
rnacentral:rRNA from 1 species